rnacentral:lncRNA from 1 species
CACAUGGAAUGUACCAGGGGACGACCCUACCAUCGGAAGAAAUAAUUAAACAAUGAGAACUCAUGGAGCAGCCAUGAUAAUAAAAAAGUUAACUAGUAAAAAAAAUAAAAUUGAUAAUAAAAACAUGAAUUUUGCAGCACCUAAGUUUAUAGAAGAAAAAAAAUCCAAAAGAAUUAAAUUAAGGAAAAUGAACUAGAGAUCAAUGCCAUACUGAUAUACAAUUGAAAUGCUUGUAAAAAUAACAAUCAAAUGGACUGAUAAGAUGAAGUUGAAAGAAGCAUCCAAGGGAUGGAUGAGAUACGCAAGUAUCAGCACGUAUGCAAUAGAGGUUCCUGCAAAAGACACAAUAAAACACUAUCAAUGUAUAAAACAACAGAACUAUAUCAAGAUAUAAAAUAAUUGCUCCACCAAACACAAUAUUAAUUAAUUAUCAUGUUCAACUACAGUAAUCAUACAUACAGUAAAUAUAUGCAAACUCAACAAUUAUGAAGAAAACAAAACAACUGGUCAAUGAGGAAGAGUAGUGAUGAAAGAGUUGAUAAAAAUAUUAAUUAUUGUUAACUUCUUUAUAACAAACUCUCUUAGGCCUGAACAACCAAUGUGGUGUAAGUGUAUUGAUUACAUAUAUGCAGUAGGAUACAUAUAUGCAGGUAUCUGUCACAAAUAAGUACAAACAAUUUUAUAGGUGAGAAGCACAACGAUGUUAUACAGCUCUUGCAAGCGAAAAGGUUAGAAGAGUAACCCUACAUUGGCAAGAGUUACCCUACAGACAGAAGAACACAAACCAGAUUCAAGUAAGAUAUUAAUCUGACUAUCCAACUCAAAACCAUAUGCAACAAGUAAAUAUGCCAAAACAACAUUUAUGCCUCGUUUGGAUUGAAUGAAUGGAAUAGCGAGUUAAAUGAUUCAUUCUCACCUUCAUUCCUGAAAUCCAAAUGUAGUACAAAUUUUAGUUAUGCUCUGUCAUAAAAAUUAGCUGACUUUAUGGUUUAAUUUGACUUUUAGAAUAGGAAUUUUUUGUCUGACCAGCAAAUUAACUUAUUUCUUACUUAUCUAAAGUGAAAAGACAAUCUACACCGAAAAUGCAACUAGAACUUCCAAUAUCAAUUUUUUUUAAUACUUUUAAAUAAGUCUCCUCCAUUAUAAGUAAUCAGUUAAAAAUAAUACUAAGCACUUACAAUAUAUGCAAAGAAUUUUAUACAGCACAAAGUGCACUAAUAAUGAAUGAUGAUUAGUCUCUAAGAUCACGAGGUACGGACUUAAUAAGGAUGGAUAAGGAUACAAUAGAAUGUUCGUCCUAAAAAUUACACAAAAAUUCAGGAUAACAAUAAGACAAGUUAAACUGGUGAGAAGCGAGUACAUAUCUAAGUGCUCUCAUAUACAUACAUAUACUAGAUCUCGAAGAAGACUUGUUAAGAGAGGUAAGACUUCACUUCCUCACAAAAACCAAUUUCAACCCAAAAAAAUAAAAAAUAAAUAAACAAAAUAAAUCCUCUUUGAACAAAAUUUUUGCGUUUGUUUCCUCAGACUUCAAUGGAAAAAAUAAAUGCACUGAUGCACACAAGUUUGAAGAGCUUAUAAGAUCUAAAAUUCAACAACAUAGAGAUAAUAGAUAAUAGAUAGAAAGUACCAUCACUGGUAGGGGAAGGAGCAGGGGCCACAACCUGAGCCUGAGCCUGACCAAAGGCCAUCAAAACAAUGGUAGCAUAAAAACAAAGACCAAAACUCUAGAAAUCUCCAUUUUUUUCUCUUGUUGUAUAUAUUUAUAUACUCCCAAUUUCUCUUUCGGAACAACCAAAUUCGGCUCCUGAACAAAGAAAAUCAACACGAUCAACACCAAACAAAACUCCAAAGAUAGAGGAAGAUGGAAUUUGAUUGGUGUAAUGCGUUAAUAUUUGAGAGUGUGAUGAAGAUAUAGCUAGCCGUAUAUAUAUAUAUAUAUAUAUAUAUAUAUAUAUAUAUAUAUAUAUAUAUAUAUAUAUAUACACACACACACACACACACACACACAAAGAGAGAAAAAAAACAUAAUAGCUUUGCCGGUAGUCGGUAACAACUAGGAGAAGAGAAACUGUUUUUCAAAUGGAUUGGGACCUACGUAACAUCAUUCCAUGUGCCGACUCCUACUCUCACCGAUCGGUCAAAAUAUUGUUUUUUGAAUUUGCAUCAUCCAAAAACCAAAUGCUGAUAUUUAUUUAUUAUUAUUUUGAUAAGCCUAAAGACUAUUUUUAUUUUUGAAUAUCAAAACAUGAUUUUUGGAGUCAUUUGAAAAUAUUGAUUUACUAAUUUUUCAUUUAAAGAAAUGGGAGUUCAAAAAUAAUUAACAAUCUUGAAAAUAUAGCAUUGCAAUGUAUUUAUAAAAAAAGACCCUCUCUUAUUUCUAAAUUAAUCUCAUUCUAUGCUACAAAAACUAAAGAGUCCAUUAUAAACUUUUCGAACGUAUUACUAGGUUGAAAUCCAAAAAUAAUUUCUAACACUAGCUCAAUCCUUAGUCUCGUUUCUACUUCCCUAUUGCAUUGAAUUAACCCAUGGGUCAUGGCUACGGAUGAAAAUUGAGAAUGCACCACCUUAACCAUUACAUAGGUCGUAGUAAACAUCAAAACAAUCUUAUAGUUUGCGCAAGUGUGUUGUACUAGUUUCGAUAUCACCUUUAAAAAUUAACAUAAAUUUUCGAUAUUUUCACAUGAUUCGUAUGAAGGUGAGACCCACUUUCUUCUCAUGUGAGAAGAUUAUGUAAAAAUAUCAAAAACACAUGUGAAAAUAUCAGUUAUCAAAAUUAAAACACUCCAACUAUAAACAUAUAUGCUUCUACUUUUCCUACAACUCAACAGUAAGACCCAAAAAUUUUGCGUCUAAAUUGUAAUGCUCUUUGAUCAAAUUUGUACUAAAUUCCAUAAACCUGUUUCUCAAAAUUCCUACAUUCAAUCUAUUCAACAUAAAGCCUAACCUAUUGACUAGACCAAAAAAAUUGAGAGUCCAGGAACAAUAAAUUGUCAAUCCAGCCCCUUCAAAUAUAUAUAUAUAUAUAUGUGGAAAAAAUGUAUGUGCACCUGUGUAUUACACAGUCGGCUAUGGCGACGGAUUUUUGGGCUAUAGCGACGGUUUCACCCGUCGCCAUAGCUAUUCUGGGAUACGGCAACGGGUGAACCGUCGCUAUAGUCCAAAAAACCCGUCGUCAUAACCCGACUGUGUAAUACACAGCUGUGCAUAUAUAUAUAUAUAUAUAUAUAUAUAUAUAUAUAUAUAUAUAUAUAUAUAUAGGGGACCGAUCCAUAAUAAACGUUGUCAACUUAAGAAUAUUUUUACAACACAUCGUAGAUGUGACCCUCCAUCCAAAAAUCGAAUGGUUAAAUAGAAGUCCCGUCCACAGUUUAGUUUUCAGUAUUCCGCAGUUUAAUACUGCGGACGGGACAGAAGACCAAAAUACCCUUCCUUCAACUAGUCCCCCGUCCGCAGUUUAAUACUGCGGAAGUUAGGUUUGUUUUAAAUUCAAACGACGUCAUUUUAAUAGAGGAAAUUGGGAAGUCUCGCCCGCAGUUUAAUACUGCGGACCCUAAAUCUAUCCAAACCACGUCGUUUUGAUCUGAAAAUUCAAAAAUUUUUAGGUUUCUAGCAUCCGCAGUAUUAAAUUGCAGAGCCUAAUUUUUUUCUUCCUUAAUUUCCUUCUCCAUUCUCUCUCCUCCCCUUACACUUAUCAUUCACCCCAUCUCUGAACUUCCCGUGUUCUAAUUCCCAUAAAUUGAUACACAAACGAUUUCUAGGGUAAAACACCUGUUACAAGAAGCAAAGCAGAGGAUACCUCCAAUGUUGGCUAAGCUGAGUGAUCCAUAUUACUAAAGAGAUCAAAAGGAGCAAACAGAACAAUAAAUGGCAUCCAUGGAAACAAGAAUCUGGAAAAAAAAAAGAGAAAUAUGAAUAUGAUAAUAGAGUAGUGGAAGCAAAGUGAAGGUGAUGAAGCAGCAGAUGAUUUUGAGCAGCAAAAAUACUAUUCUUCAAGGAAUAAAAAAGGAUUGCUUUGACCAAUUUUGGAGAAUCUCCUCCCUCUAAUUCAAGGAUAAUUCAGAAAAGUUGAGAAUAAAAGGCCAUCUCCAUUCCAAACAAACAAACCCACAAAGCAAUAAAGUUCCCAAUUAGGUUGAAAGAACCAUCAGAACUAAACUCACUAACUUCACAGCUUCUGGUAAACCCCUCUUUACCAAUCUCUCUGCAACAUAUCCACAAAUCAAGAAAAACAAAUGGCAGAAAGAGUUUGAAUCUGAGACGAAGAAAUAAACAACAUGGGAGCCCAAACCAGCUAAUCACGACCAACCCCAUUCUGGCCAUUUCGCAAAAUCAAAUCCAUGACAAGAAAUAACAAAACAAAAUAGCUUAGAUUGAAAAUAAAAAAUAAAGGACAGUCCUAAAUUGGAACAAUCACUAACUAAAAAUAAGAAGCCCAAAUCUAGUUAUGCACAAUGAUAAACAAUAAAUAAAACAUGAAACCCAAUUUGAACAAGCACACGGAUUGACAGGAAGCAACGACCCAUUCAUGCAAAGCAGGACCUUAGAUCCAACCCACCGGAAACAAAUCAGAUCCCAGAAAGCCGAACCCAGAUUCUGGCAAGGCCACAACACCAUUCAAAGCUCUAUUUUGUUUUCUCGAUACCGGAAGAUUGUAUGUGAGACCACUUUCAACCUUCACUCUAUUAUGAAGCUUCACAUGAAAAGAAUCAGUGAUGCCGGAGCCGUACACAGGAAACAAAGUUUCCGUCAUCGUUCCCGAUAGCUGGGGCAAUCCUAUUGGAACUCCAUACAUUUUUGCAUUUCUAUCAAUGGCGUUCAUAAUUGCUCUGUAGAUUCAAUCACAUAAAUUAAAAUUACUCUACAGAAAAUUAAGAGGAGAAUAUAGAGAAAUCAGGAAAGGAUUAAGGGGAGGAGAGGCUGGAGAAUGAAAGAAGAAUGUUAAAAAAAAAAAAAUUAGGCUUCGCAGUUUAAUACUGCGGAUGCUAGAAAACUAAAAA